rnacentral:rRNA from 1 species
UACGUAGGGUGCGAGCGUUUAAUCGGAAUUACUGGGCGUAAAGUGUGCGCAGGCGGCUUCGCAAGUCGAGUGUGAAAUCCCCGAGCUUAACUUGGGAAUUGCGCUCGAAACUACGGAGCUGGAGUGUGGCAGAGGAAGGUGGAAUUCCACGUGUAGCGGUGAAAUGCGUAGAGAUGUGGAGGAACACCGAUGGCGAAGGCAGCCUUCUGGGCCAACACUGACGCUCAUGCACGAAAGCGUGGGGAGCAAACAGG